rnacentral:rRNA from 2 species
UGAGGAAUAUUGGUCAAUGGGCGAGAGCCUGAACCAGCCAAGUAGCGUGCAGGAUGACGGCCCUAUGGGUUGUAAACUGCUUUUAUAAGGGAAUAAAGUGAGUCUCGUGAGACUUUUUGCAUGUACCUUAUGAAUAAGGACCGGCUAAUUCCGUGCCAGCAGCCGCGGUAAUACGGAAGGUCCGGGCGUUAUCCGGAUUUAUUGGGUUUAAAGGGAGCGUAGGCCGGAGAUUAAGCGUGUUGUGAAAUGUAGACGCUCAACGUCUGCACUGCAGCGCGAACUGGUUUCCUUGAGUACGCACAAAGUGGGCGGAAUUCGUGGUGUAGCGGUGAAAUGCUUAGAUAUCACGAAGAACUCCGAUUGCGAAGGCAGCUCACUGGAGCGCAACUGACGCUGAAGCUCGAAAGUGCGGGUAUCGAACAGG